GGCAAGUAUAUAAAGAAAUUAUUAUGGAUAAUUAGCUAUAUAUUAAAGAAUAACUAGUAAAUCUAGUUUCUAAGAGAAAUCGAAUAAUAAACGAAGUGAAUUGAAAUAUCUUAGUAACUUUAGGAAAAGAAAUCAAACGAGAUUGUUAUUUGGUGCAAACUAAAUAACAAGAGCCUAUUAACAAAACUUGUUAAAGUAAAAUGGAUUAAAAUCUGUUUGAAUAUAGGGGAACCUUCCUCUAAGGCUAAAUAUGAUAUAUAAGCGAUAGUGAAAAGUACCGUGAGGUAAAAUUUGAAAUAGUAGUUUUAUAAGCAGCUCGAGUGAAAAUUUAAAUAAGUAAUAAGAGUGUACCUUUUGCAUAAUGGGUCAGCAAGUUAAUUUUAGAUGCAAGCAAUGAUUUCGUGCGCUUUGCGCAUGGAACUAGCUUAGAUAAACCAAUUAUGAGAAAAUGAAUAAGUAUCUAGAAUUAGACCCGAAGGCUAGUGAUCUUACCAUGGUCAGGAUUAUAAAAGUCCGAACGGGUUAUCGUUGUAUAGAUAUCCGAAGAAUUGUGGUAAGUUAGUGAAAGACAAAACUGACUAGUAUAGCUGGUUUUCCGCGAAACCUAUAUGAGUAGGUAAUUUAACUAACAUCUUAGCAGGUACAGAACUGUGAUCUCGGACAAUAUCUUUUGAUUUUGUCAACAUCGGGGGGUUGUAGUGACUUUACCGGAGAGUAUUUGCACUCGGAAUGGCAAAGAUGAAUGUUGAAUAAUCGGACAUAGUGCGAUAAGGUUGUAUGUCUAAAGGGAAACAGCCCAGAACAAGAGUUAAGGUUCCAAAAUUAUUGUUGAGUGAAAUUAAGGAUGUUUUUUUUAAAAACAAUCAGGAAAUAGGCUUAGAAGCGGCCAUUUUUUGAAGACCUCGUAACAGAGCACUGAUUAAUUAAAUUUAGAAAAAAACACCGAAAAUUUAACGGAUCUAAACAAUAUACCGAAACCUUGUACACAUAUUUAUAAUAUUAAUAUUGUAUAUGUGGGGUAGCGGAACAUUGGAUAAAUAUUAAUUAUUAUUUCUUCUAAGAAGUAAUAAGUAUGGAUUAUUAUUAAAAAUAUUUAUUUAUUAAAGAUAUUUAUGUAAUAUUAUUAUACCUAAAAGGUAUAAUGUUUAGAUGAAUAUAUAGAUAGAUUAUAUCUGUCUUUAUUAUUAAUAUAAUCCAUCGAUAUAAUCCAAGAGAGAAUGCUGACAUGAGUAACGAAAAAGGAAUAUCCUCGCCUUAAGCUUAUGGUAUUAUAUUUAAUUUUCGGUAUCUAAAAGUAUUAAUCAAAAGGUAAUUUUGAUGAUAUUUAUAUAUAAAUACUUAAAAAUAAAAAACAAAACCUUUAACAAGUAAUAAAGGUUCUGGAAAAUUUUUUAUUUUUAUUAAGUGAAGUAUAAUGCAAUAUAGGUAUAUUAUAAUUUAUAUAAUUUUCUUGUUACAAGUUUUCAAGAUUGUAUAGAUUUUAUCUAUAUUAAAUAUAUUUUCUUUUUUAUACUAUUGUAUAAGUAAGGUUUAUAUAUACCGUACCUAGAUACUAUCACAAGUAAGCAAGUAGAGAAUACAAAGGCGUUUGAGUGAACAAUCAUUAAGGAACUCGGCAAAUUGACUACCGUAACUUCGGGAUAAGGAGGGCCAUUAUGAUUAGUUUAACAUAUCUUAUGAUAUGAUUUAAUUAAACUAAUCAUAAGAGGAAACAUGAAAUAAUGUUGUACGACUGUUUAAUAAAAACACAGCACUCUGCAAAGAUAAAAUAUCAAAGUAUUGAGUGUGAUGUCUGCCCAAUGUCGGCUGGGUAACGGAUUUACCUUGGUUUUUAACUGAGGUUUUGAAGGAUACCCCGAUUAAUGGCGGCCUUACCUAUGAGGGUCCUAAGGUAGCGAAAUACCUUGGCCGUUAAAUGCGGUCCUGCAUGAAUGACUUAACGAUACAACAGCUGUCUCGAUGAUUGUCUCAGUGAAAUUGGAAUAGCAGUGCAGAUACUGUUUACCUCUAGAUAGACGAGAAGACCCUAUGCAGCUUUACUGUUACUAAUUGCAAGAGUGGAAAUUUAGGAUGAUUUCGAGUGUAUAAGGUAGUUGUUUGAUAACAAUGAAACACCUUUAUUCGUUUCCUACUAUAUGCUCUUGAGGAUUGGGAGGCAGUUUAUGCGGGGCACAGAUCCCACAAAAAGUACCUGGGUAUAUCCAAAGUUCAUUUUGUAAAUUUGUAAAUUUCUUUACAAAUAUUUUAAUUUGUUAUAAUUAUAUUCAUAAUUAUACAGUUAUUGUUAGAUUAAGUUCAAUAUUUAUUUUUUAUUUAAGUAAGAUUUUAACUAUAUGGUGAAUAGAUGUAUUUUAAACUUUACCCGGGGAGGGAGUGAUCCAACUCCGGGAUAUUUAAAAGUUUUUUCUCAUAUUAAUAUUGUAUUUUAUCUUUAUUGAUAUGAUAAUUAAUUAUACUUUAAAAGUUUAAUGGCUAAAUCUUGCUUUACUGUUUGACCUACAAGUCUAUCAGUCGCGUAAGCGGGGCAUAUGAUCACAAGAUGCAUAAAGGAAAGGUCUUGGAUUAUAGAAAAAGUUACGCUAGGGAUUUAUAUCUGUGAGUCCUCCAAUAUUUAAAAAUAUUGGUAAU
rfam:Aspergillus oryzae RIB40 mitochondrial DNA, complete genome, AOmito_02s.